rnacentral:misc_RNA from 1 species
AACCUAGCACACCUGCGGUGUGUACCUGCGGAGGGAUCAUUACAGAGUUGCAAGACUCCCUAAACCAUUGUGAACCUACCUUCUACCGUUGCUUCGGCGGGCGGGCCCAGCGCCCCCCCGGCCCCCCGCGGGCGCCCGCCGGAGGAUACCCAAACUCUUGACAUUAGUGGCCUCUCUGAGUAUUCUUUACUGAAUAAGUCAAAACUUUCAACAACGGAUCU